AUCCUUUUCCGUUUGAUAAGCAUGAUGAUUGGGUGUUCACGCAUUUGUGUGACAUGUGCCUCCCUUAAAUCUUGCUACACAUUUGGCAUAUUAGCCAUCUGAUG
ensembl:snoRNA